CACAUAUAUAUACAUGUCACUUAUUGAUAAAUAUCUGAAUAAGAAAGAAGAGCAUGUGCAAAAAGGGUGUAGCUAUUGCUGUAAACUGUAAAUAUGUCAGCAGGUUAUGGAUGAAAUGGAAAAUGCAGUUAUGAUGAACACAUGAUCUGCUUCACGUCGGUUAUUACGUCGAUGUUUCCAUGAAAGAUUAGGACUGUGGACAGCUUCAGGAUGCUUCAGUGUCUCCUCUGCUUAAGGACGCACUGAAGCUCAUUUCCUUAGUAUGUGGGACAGCUCUGAUUAUGGCCGCCACACAGAUACUUCCAGGUGAUGUCUUUCAGUGAAGAGCUUUCACUAGCAAAAUGGACUCUGUUUAGUGAGGUGACAGGAAGUGACAUCAUGAACGUCAUCAUCAAAGAUGAAUCAUCAUCACGCUGAUGGUGCGAUCUCAAACAUUGACUGUUUUUAAGAAUCCAAACAAUCUGAAGGGAAAUCUUUAAAACUGCAUCGUGAGUCGGAGGAGGUCUGUGAACAUGUGACACAUGGCUCACAUGACCUGUCAGAGGAGCAGGUGAGCCUGACAGUAAAAGCCUGGUCACAUGUUUGCAGUGAAAGGCUUUUAAUUUGAAAUAAUACAGGAAGUUUAUGUAUAAGGGUUGGAGCAGGUCAGGUCUGCUGAUUGGAAGGUCGGCGGUCCGAUCUCUGGCUGCUGCAGUCUGCGUGCCCUUGUUUCUCCAGUGGAGUGUGAAUGAGUGUGAUUGGGUGAAAGAGGCACGUUGUAUAUAGCGCUCAAAGAGACGUGCUACAUAAGAACCAGUCCAUUUACCACAAACAGCAUGAUGCAGUUAAACAGACCGAACAGUAACAGGUGACCAGAGCUCACCAUAGUAACCUGUACAUAGCAGUACGGGUUGCUAUGGUAACAGACACCAUCCAGCUGUGUACUGCAACUCCAUUUACACAGUUGUAAUGUCAGAGCUGAUGUCAUCUGUGUUCAGUGUCAUGUGACGUAUCAUGUGAUCAUCUGUGACAUCAUGUGAACAGCUACAGAUGUCAUAAGAUUAAUUGUGAAAUUAAAGUUGUUCCUGAUUAGUGUUGUUAGCUAACCAUCAACACCUGGUUUAUGCUGGAGCUGGGGCAUCGCCUCGUUCAUAGCUAAAGGUAGAAAUGGUGUCCUGGAGUUCCUCUGACAUAGAACGCUGAUCAUUGAUGGUUGGAGAAGGGAUAGAUCAGAGACACGAGGAGAACCUCACAUGACUGUAAUGUAAAAACAGGUGUUGAUGAUGUCACACAUUUUGAUUGGUCAGGUGGUUUCAGUCCUGGGGGAUAAUACUAGCUGUAAGUAUCAUUACCACCUGACCAGACCAGGGUGCUUUGAACCUGAUUACGUGACCUGUACCUGUUCUCAGAUGGCGGAAACGGUGAAGUACGUGGAUGACGAACAUAAGAGCAUCUUCUUGAAGCUGCUGAACGAGCAGCGGCUGGAGGGUGAGCACUGCGACAUCGCCGUGGUCGUCGAAGACGUCAAGUUCCGUGCUCACCGCUGCGUCCUCGCCGCCUGCUCCAACUACUUUAAAAAGCUCUUCAAAAAACACGAGGUGGACAACUCAUCAGUGAUUGAGAUUGACUUCAUCCGCUCUGACAUCUUUGAGGAAGUCUUGAACUACAUGUACACGGCGAAGAUCUCUGUGAAGAAGAAGGAUGUCAACCUGAUGAUGUCAUCAGGCCAGAUCCUCGGCAUCCGCUUCCUUGACAAACUCUGCUCUCAGAAGCGAGAUGUGUCGUCGGAGGACAAGGAGAAGUUUCCCUAUGACAUCGUAAAGAUGGCGCUGCCGCCUGAGGCUCAGCUCGCGGCCGACUCAGAGGUGCUCGGUGAGCACGAUGACACGUCUGCCACAGAUGACCUUGUGGAGCCCUCGGCCAAUCCAGAGCUGGAUAAGUCUCCCAGUGCAGCGCUGCAUGUGCAAGAGGCGAUCCUAAAGGAACUGACCAAUGAGGAUGUGCACAAGGUAACCUGCUACGAUCAGGAUGUGGUGACGGAGAUGGAGGCGGAGCCUAAAGAGCUUGUUGCGGAGCAUCACGCCACACAGACGCUGACCUUCGCGGACAGCAUUGGGGAAGUGAAGGACGAGCAGCCGCCAGGCUGGUCGACGGCGACUGCUGACAUGAAGUUCGAAUACCUGCUGUACGGACACCGCGAGCAGCUCGCCUGCCAGGUGUGUGGGAAGACUUUCUUGGAUGAGAGCAGACUCAGCACGAGAAGCUUCACUCGGCUGAGCGUCCAUUCGCUUGUGAGAUUUGCACCAAAGCUUUCACCACCCACGCUCACCUGAAAGAACACCUGAAGAUCCACGCAGGUUUCAAACCCUACAGGUGUGACGUGUGCGGGAAAUCUUUCAUUCGCGCUCCGGACCUGAAGAAACAUGAACGAGUUCACAGCAACGAGCGGCCCUUCGCCUGCCAGAUGUGCGAAAAGGCUUUUAAACACAAGUCUCACCUGAAGGAUCACGAGAGGAGACACAGAGGGGAGAAACCGUUCGUCUGUCCGUCCUGCACCAAGGCCUUCGCCAAGGCGUCAGAUCUGAAGCGUCAUGAGAACAACAUGCACAGUGAGAGGAAGCAGCUGAAUCCUUUGCAGAGUGACACUGAGACACUGCAGGCUGCUGCCAUGGCUGCUGAGGAGCAACAUCUGGACUCCAUCAGCUGCUCCUAACAUCUGGACAGCCCUUUAACCUUUUCUGCUUUCACACAAACUUUGAACGGACUUUGGCUCUGUUUGGUAGGAGCCUUUUUUCCUGCGUCGAGUUGAUGCACAUGAACCAAGUGUAAGAUAAACUGAGCGGUCAUGUGACUCAAAUGUUGUCAUGUGACCUCCCUCUGGCUACAUGUGUGAUUUGUAACCUGGCGUGUUUGUCUUUUCAGUUUGAAGCAUACAUUUAUAAACUGUGUAAAUUAUAAACACUUCUGCUCAGUUUCAUGAGCAAUGAGAGAGAGAACAGUUUAAAUAAAGAUUCAACCUUA